rnacentral:rRNA from 1 species
UACGAAGGGGGCUAGCGUUGUUCGGAAUUACUGGGCGUAAAGGGCGCGCAGGCGGCCCUCCAAGUCAGGCGUGAAAGCCCCGGGCUCAACCCGGGAAUAGCGCUUGAGACUGGGGGGCUUGAGUUCGGGAGAGGAGAGUGGAAUUCCCAGUGUAGAGGUGAAAUUCGUAGAUAUUGGGAAGAACACCGGUGGCGAAGGCGGCGUCUCUGGACCGACGACUGACGCUGAGGCGCGAAAGCGUGGGGAGCAAACAGG